AUGCAGUGAUGACACUCUUAGGACACCUUUAGAGGUUGCGACCAAUGAAAUGAAUUCAUGAGCUGAGCAUG
ensembl:snoRNA SNORD58 Small nucleolar RNA SNORD58